UCUAGCAUGACCUCACCUGGUGUUCGCGGCGCGUAGCCCGAACUGAAAGAUGGGGAAGUCCGGUGAGAAUCCGGCGCUGUUGCGCAGCGGUGUGCCGAUUAUGAUCGGCGAGCCCGAAUGCCUGCCAGGGAAGCCCUCUAUAC
rnacentral:ncRNA from 2 species